rnacentral:rRNA from 1 species
GACGAACGCUGGCGGCGUGCCUAAUACAUGCAAGUCGAACGCAGUGGGGACGGGUGAGUAACCCGUGGUUAACCUCCCAUCAACGUGGAUAACACUUGGUAACAGGUGCUAAACCUAUACUUAUGGAUGGACCCGCGGUGCAUUAGCUAGUUGGUGAGGUAACGGCUCACAAAGGCCCCGAUGCAUAGCCGACCUGAGAGGGUGAGCGGCCACACUGGGACUGAGACACGGCCCAGACUCCUACGGGAGGCAGCAGUAGGGAAUCUGCGGCAAUGGACGAAAUCCUGACCGAGCAACGCCGCGUGAGUGAAGAAGGUUUUCGGAUCGUAAAACUCUGUUGUUAGAGAAGCGGUAUCUAACCAGAAAGCCACGGCUAACUACGUGCCAGCAGCCGCGGUAAUAC